rnacentral:rRNA from 1 species
UACAGAGGUCCCGAGCGUUGUUCGGAUUCACUGGGCGUAAAGGGUGCGUAGGUGGCUGGAAAAGUUUGAUGUGAAAUCUCCGGGCUCAACCCGGAAAAGGCAUUGAAUACUGUCGAGCUGGAGGGUUGGAGGGGGGACUGGAAUUCUUGGUGUAGCAGUGAAAUGCGUAGAUAUCAGGAGGAAUACCGGUGGCGAAAGCGACUCUCUGGACGGCAACUGACGCUGAGGCACGAAAGCGUGGGGAGCAAACAGG